GACCCUGCAGGCGCAUUUAAAAUGAGGGAAGCAGCCCCUGCCACGCGCCCAGGCCAUCCGCCGUUCUCCUGCCUGUCCUGUUGGAUGGAGGCCGUUGGAUGCACGUGAAACUGCAUUCCACUUUCCAGCGGCCGCCUCCUCCAGAGGGUGGCUCAGGAGAGGCCUAACAGAAUUAGAGUAUUUGCCGGUUAUCCGGAUCAGAAGGGAUGGUGGCCUGACUGGACGUAGAGGAACCUUUGGGGCACAAGGAGGUGAUGCCUGUCACUCUUGAACAUGGGCGCAGCCGCCAGAGCUGCCCCCCAGGGCAGAAGGUGGGCCCCGGUGAGCUUGUGUGCUCACACCUGGGCAGGCCCUGUGGCAGCAAUGGCAGCUCUCCUGUGCAGGUUGAGUUUCAGCCACACCAAGAAGUCAAAGCUAACUGAGGCCUGCCUUCUGAGACCCCUGGGAUGGCCCCUGGGAGGCCAAGGAGUUGGGUACUGGGUACCUGGAGCAGAGUCACUGUGGCCACAGAGAACCGCAGCUGAGCUUCGUGAAGCCACAUGGCCACACCUCCCAGUGCCUCCACCCCCACCAAACACAGACCACUCAGAAAAUAGGAACCCAGGGCAAAUUGUAUGUGCUACUUACUGGGUUUAUUAUAAGUGUCAAAUGUAUUUUAUAAUAAAACAUAGGUGAUUUCAGCUUAAUGGA